GAUGAACGCUAGCGGCAGGCUUAAUACAUGCAAGUCGAGGGGGCAGCAAUGUCACCGGCGAACGGGUGCGUAACGCGUAUGCAACCUACCUACAUCAGGGGGAUAGCCCUAGGAAACUGGGAUUAACACCGCAUAAUAUAAGCUACGGCAUCGUAACUUAUUGAAAUCUUUAUAGGAAUUAGAUGGGCAUGUGUAGGAUUAGCUAGUUGGUAAGGUAACGGCUUACCAAGGCUACGAUCCUUAGGGGCUCUGAGAGGAGGAUCCCCCAGACUGGCACUGAGAUACGGGCCAGACUCCUACGGGAGGCAGCAGUAGGGAAUAUUGGGCAAUGGAGGCAACUCUGACCCAGCCAUGCCGCGUGCAGGAAGACGGUCCUCUGGAUUGUAAACUGCUUUUGAAUGGGAAGAAUGUGUUCCUUGCGAGGAGUAAUGACGGUACCAUUAGAAUAAGCCACGGCUAACUACGUGCCAGCCGCCGCCGUAA
rnacentral:rRNA from 1 species